UACGUAGGGGGCAAGCGUUGUCCGGAAUUAUUGGGCGUAAAGAGCUCGUAGGCGGUCCUCUAAGUCUGAUGUGAAAUCUUGCGGCUUAACCGCGAAACUGCAUCCGAUACUGGAGGACUUGAGGCAGGUAGGGGAAGGUGGAAUUCCUGGUGUAGCGGUGAAAUGCGCAGAUAUCAGGAGGAACACCAGUGGCGAAGGCGGCCUUCUGGGCCUGUACUGACGCUGAGGAGCGAAAGCGUGGGGAGCAAACAGG
rnacentral:rRNA from 1 species